UUUUUGAAAAAAUUUCAUUUAUCAACGAUGAUAAACUAAGAAUACCAGUGAUAAUAUUAUGUUAAUUACAAAUACGUAGGUACCUAUUGAUUUUGUGUAGGCAUAGGAGUCCACAGUCAAUUACUCCAACUUAACGCGGGAUGAAGUGCUCAGCCUAGUGCAGAAGACGACCCAAUGAAAUCUGAAGUGACUCAAGAAAAUCUAAAGAUACAAGUAUGAGAAAAUGAUACCAUACAAUGAAAAACAUAUUGCUCAAUCAACUCAAAAGACAACCAAAAAAAACGAUUAAAGAUGACACACAAACGGAAUACAUAGACAGCGGUCAGCGGAAUGCUUAGAGAUACGUGCAGACCCAUGAAGAAAAUGAAAAUCGCAGACUACAGUAUAACUUUGGAUUUGGAUUUGGACCAAGGCUAGGAUUUUAAAAGUUGGCGAACAAAAAGAACGCUUGAAACUACAGGUUCUGAUGAAAACUUGAGUCGAAUUCUGUUCGUUUAUAGCUACAAAAGAGGAUUUUUACAAAGGGAACCAGUCAAUGUGGGACACUAGCUAGAAGUGGGCUGGUUCUUCUUUAUCUUUUCCAACAACAGAAAAACAGUAUGAGCCAUUCAGAGUUCACCAAUUCGGCGGCUUCCAUCCUGAAAUAGAAAUUUCAGACUUUUCGAACAAACAUCAUCUACAGUAUUCUUGAAACAGGUUUCUCAGAUAGAUACAAAAAAAAAAACCUGAAGAAAAUCAUCAACAUUACGGUAUAACUUUGGAGUUGGAUUUGGACAGCAAAAGCGCGGAUUUUAAAAGUUGGAGACCGAAAGAAGAAAGAACAAAGAAUGCUUUAAACUACAGGUCCCGAUGAAAAAUUAGGACGAAUGCUGUUCGUUGAUACAGAACAGGAUUUUUCCAAAGGGAACCAUUCAAUGUGGGACACUAGAUAUUGGCUGGUUCUUCUUUAUCUAUUCCGCAACAAACUGAAAAACAGUAUGAGCCAUUCAGAGUUCACCAAUUCGGCGGCUUCCAUCCCAGGAUGGUGAUUUCAGGCUUAUCGUGCCAUGAAAGAUCUAAAGAAUUUACCAUAGACUGCAACUAAGCAGGAAAACAAGGAUGUUAUAUAGUCAGGAUCCGUUAAACUUAACAACAUAUUUCAACACAUAAGAUAAGUAAUACCUAUAGAUUGUGACAGGUGGUUGUGCCAAAAUUUACAAUGCCCAUCAGCAACAUAGUAGAUUCAGAACGCUUAUGAAUUACGAAUUUAAUAGUAUUUCGCAUGCUGGUUGUUGCAAUGAUAUAAGAAAAUUUAUUGAAGAAUCUUAUAGAUAGUCAAUUUUUUCAAUAAAUUUUUAUACAUGAUUACAAAACGUGAUAGGUAGAUAUUCCUAAGAGCUUCGUCGUGCAAUGAAAAUAAUUGUAGAUGAACUGCUUAUCUUUGCUCGUAAUAAUUUCUCCUCUGAUAAUUGAUUAACUUGAUGUCGAUGAUGUCGCUUAGUGUCACUAUUAUUGUUCGUUACUUGUUGUUUCUGUACUAAGUAGGUAUAUUAUACUCGUAAGCUCUUCGCAUUAUUGAUUCAAUACAUUUUAUUUUUGUGAAUCUA